AGAGAUGUGUGAUGACGCAUAUCAAUAAGCGGAGGAAAAGAAACUAACAAGGAUUCCCUUAGUAACGGCGAGUGAAGCGGGAAGAGCUCAAAUUUGAAAUCUUCAAGGUUUUACCUUGACGAAUUGUAGUUUAAAGAAGUGUUUUCUGUUGGAGUUUUGGUAAAAGUUCUUUGGAAUAGGACAUCAUAGAGGGUGAGAAUCCCGUAUUUGACCAUUAUUUCCAGCUGUGUGAUACACUUUCAAAGAGUCGGAUUGUUUGGGAAUGCAGUCCAAAAUGGGUGGUAAAUUUCAUCUAAAGCUAAAUAUUGGCGAGAGACCGAUAGCGAACAAGUACCGUGAGGGAAAGAUGAAAAGAACUUUGAAAAGAGAGUUAAACAGUACGUGAAAUUGUCAAAAGGGAAGCGUUUGACACCAGUGUUGUUUUCUCGAAAAUCAAUUAAAAAUGACUGGAUUUUGUGUUGUAUUGACUUUAUCAGCUUUCUGCACUUUUUUCUUGUCUUUUUUAAUGCACUUUUCGUUUAACAAGUCAACAUCAAUUUCUUUUGUUGUAAAAGAGUCAUUGGAAGGUGGCUUUUUCUUCGGAAAAAGUGUUUAUAGCCUUUGGCUUCUGCAAUCGGAGAGAUUGAGGUCUGCAGCGUAGAUCCUUCGGGGUUAGAUACAUUUGUGCUAAGCUAUAGUUCUUUAUAGACAACUUGUUGGCUAUAAUCAAUCCUGUAACUUACUCGCUUAUGCUAUUUUACCUACGCUUAGGAUGUUGAGUCGUAGAGCACGCAG
rnacentral:rRNA from 1 species